rnacentral:misc_RNA from 1 species
UCCGGUUUGUCACCGGCAGUCUCCUUAAAGUUCCCACCAUGACGUGCUGGCAAAUAAGGAUAAGGGUUGCGCUCGUUACGGGACUUAACCCAACAUCUCACGACACGAGCUGACGACAGCCAUGCAGCACCUGUCUCAGAGCUCCCGAAGGCACCAAUCCAUCUCUGGAAAGUUCUCUGGAUGUCAAGACCUGGUAAGGUUCUUCGCGUUGCGUCGAAUUGAACCACAUGCUCCACCGCUUGUGCGGGCCCCCGUCAAUUCAUUUGAGUUUUAAUCUUGCGACCGUACUCCCCAGGCGGUCGACUUAGCGCGUUAGCUACGCCACCAAGGACACGAAGGUCCCCAACGGCUAGUCGACAUCGUUUACAGCGUGGACUAC